rnacentral:misc_RNA from 1 species
GUUAUUGCCAGGGUUUUUAUUUUAUACUUUAAGCUUUCAAUUUAUUUUUUAUGUUUUUUAAAUAUUCAUUUUUUUGAAUAUUUAAAAAACAUAAAAAAUAAAUUAGAUAUUGACAUAGAUUAAACAAAAAUAUAUAUUAUUCUAUGUUGCAUAAACAAAUUGGCAAAGUAGAGAUGGAAGAUAAAAAUAUGGUCAAAGUAAUA